GACGAGGGAUCCUAGCGUUGCUCGGAAUCAUUGGGCGUAAAGCGGGUGUAGGUGGCUUGGUAAGUCGGGUGUGAAAGCCCAGGGCUCAACCCUGGAAGUGCAUUCGAUACUGCUGAGCUUGAGUGCGAGAGAGGUUAAUAGAAUACCUGGUGUAGUGGUGAAAUACGUAGAUAUCUGGAGGAACACCGGUGGCGAAGGCGGCAUCCUGGACCAACACUGACGCUGAGUGAGCGAAAGCCAGGGGAGCAAACGGG
rnacentral:rRNA from 1 species